rnacentral:rRNA from 1 species
GAUGAACGCUGGCGGCGUGCCUAAUACAUGCAAGUCGAGCGAACAGAUGCGGCGCUUGCUCCUCUGACGUUAGCCGCGGACGGGUGAGUAACACGUGGAUAACCUACCUAUAAGACUGGGAUCACUUCGGGAAACCGGAGCUAAUCCCGGAUAAUAUAUUGAACCGCAUGGUUCAAUAGUGAAAGACGGUUUUUCUGUCACUUCUAGAUGGAUCUCCGCCGCAUUAGCUAGUUGGUGGGGUAACGGCUUACCACGGCAAGGAUGCGUAGCCGACCGCAGAGAGGGGUCGCCGACCUGGGAGGUGAACCAGCGUCAAGACGCCUGCGAGAGGCCGCAGUAGGGAACGUGCCGCAAUGGUGGAAAGCCUGACGGAGCAGCGGCACGUGAGUGAUGAAGGUCUUGGGAGCGUAAAGCUGUGUUAUGAGUUGAGAACAGAUGUGUAAGUAACCGUGGACUUAUUGACGGUACUUGGUCAGGAAGCCACGGCUAACUACGUG